UUAAGUGAGAAAGCGUACAGGGCGGAUGCCUUGGCAAUCAGAGGCGAUGAAGGACGUGCUAAUCUGCGAAAAGCGUGGGUGAGUUGAUAAGAAGCGUUUAACCCACGAUGUCCGAAUGGGGAAACCCGAUAGGUGAAGAACCUAUCAUUGUUUACUGAAUAAAAUAGGUAAACAAGGCGAACCGGGAGAACUGAAACAUCUAAGUACCCCGAGGAAAAGAAAUCAACCGAGAUUCUGUGAGUAGCGGCGAGCGAAAGCGGAGAAGCCAGUGAGUGAUAGCAUGUGAUUUAGGAGAAUUAGCUGGGAAGCUAAGCGACACAGGGUGAUAGCCCCGUAUCUGAAAAAUUGCGUGUGGUACUAAGCUUACGACAAGUAGGGCGGGACACGAGGAAUCCUGUUUGAAGAUGGGGGGACCAUCCUCCAAGGCUAAAUACUCCUGAUUGACCGAUAGUGAACCAGUACUGUGAAGGAAAGGCGAAAAGAACCCCGGUGAGGGGAGUGAAAUAGAACCUGAAACCCUGUACGUACAAGCAGUGGGAGCCCCAUCAUUAAGCCAAAGGCACGAUGAUGAGUAGCGCACCUUUUGUUGGAAGUGCGGUUGACUUCACGCAGUGAAGUCCAACCCGAAAAAAUCAAACAGAGGGGGCUUAAUGAUGGGGUGACUGCGUACCUUUUGUAUAAUGGGUCAGCGACUUAUAUUUUGUAGCGAGGUUAACUGAAUAAGGGAGCCGAAGGGAAACCGAGUCUUAACUGGGCGUUGAGUUGCAAGGUAUAGACCCGAAACCCGGUGAUCUAGCCAUGGGCAGGUUGAAGGUUGGGUAACACUAACUGGAGGACCGAACCGACUAAUGUUGAAAAAUUAGCGGAUGACUUGUGGCUGGGGGUGAAAGGCCAAUCAAACCGGGAGAUAGCUGGUUCUCCCCGAAAUCUAUUUAGGUAGAGCCUUGAGCGGACACCUUUGGGGGUAGAGCACUGUUUCGGCUAGGGGCCCAUCCCGGGUUACCAAACCGAUGCAAACUCCGAAUACCGAAGAGUGAUACUCAGGAGACACACGGCGGGUGCUAACGUCCGUCGUGGAGAGGGAAACAACCCAGACCGCCAGCUAAGGUCCCAAAAUCUAUAUUAAGUGGGAAACGAAGUGGGAAGGCUUAGACAGCUAGGAUGUUGGCUUAGAAGCAGCCACCAUUUAAAGAAAGCGUAAUAGCUCACUAGUCGAGUCGGCCUGCGCGGAAGAUGUAACGGGGCUAAAAUAUAGUACCGAAGCUGCGGCAUCAGGCGUAUCACUAAUACGCCUUAACGAUUAACCACUUGCGAAGCAAGUGGGUAAAGCGAAAAACACGUUGAGUGUAAUGGCAAAAAAUCGAAGAGGGAUAUUAGUGAUACGCCUGUUGGGUAGGGGAGCGUUGUGUAAGCGGAAGAAGGUGAUUUGAGAGGAUUGCUGGACGUAUCACAAGUGCGAAUGCUGACAUAAGUAACGAUAAAACGGGUGAAAAACCCGUUCGCCGGAAGACCAAGGGUUCCUGUCCAACGUUAAUCGGGGCAGGGUGAGUCGGCCCCUAAGGCGAGGCUGAAAAGCGUAGUCGAUGGGAAACGGGUUAAUAUUCCCGUACUUGGUAAAGCUGCGAUGUGGGGACGGAGAAGGUUAGGUUAUCACACUGUUGGAUAUGUGUGUUUAAGCUGGUAGGUGGGAAGACUAGGCAAAUCCGGUCUUCUAUUCAACACCGAGAAGUGAUGACGAGGCUCUAUGGAGCUGAAGUAACCAAUACCACGCUUCCAGGAAAAGCCACUAAGCGAAAGGCUUUACUAAACCGUACUGAAAACCGACACAGGUGGUCAGGUAGAGAAUACUCAGGCGCUUGAGAGAACUCGGGUGAAGGAACUAGGCAAAAUAGCACCGUAACUUCGGGAGAAGGUGCGCUGGCGUAGUGUGAAGUUCUAUACGGAUGGAGCAUGAACCAGUCGAAGAUACCAGCUGGCUGCAACUGUUUAUUAAAAACACAGCACUCUGCAAACACGAAAGUGGACGUAUAGGGUGUGAUGCCUGCCCGGUGCUGGAAGGUUAAUUGAUGGUGUAAUCGAAAGAGAAGCUCCUGAUCGAAGCCCCAGUAAACGGCGGCCGUAACUAUAACGGUCCUAAGGUAGCGAAAUUCCUUGUCGGGUAAGUUCCGACCUGCACGAAUGGCAUAAUGAUGGCCAGGCUGUCUCCACCCGAGACUCAGUGAAAUUGAAAUCGCCGUGAAGAUGCGGUGUACCCGCGGCUAGACGGAAAGACCCCGUGAACCUUUACUAUAGCUUGACACUGAACCUUGAAUUUUGAUGUGUAGGAUAGGUGGGAGACUAUGAAGCGGUAACGCCAGUUAUCGUGGAGUCGUUGUUGAAAUACCACCCUUUAACGUUUGAUGUUCUAACGAAGCGCCUGAAACGGGUGUUCGGACAGUGUCUGGUGGGUAGUUUGACUGGGGCGGUCUCCUCCCAAAGCGUAACGGAGGAGCACGAAGGUUUGCUAAUGACGGUCGGACAUCGUCAGGUUAGUGCAAUGGUAUAAGCAAGCUUAACUGCGAGACAGACAAGUCGAGCAGGUGCGAAAGCAGGUCAUAGUGAUCCGGUGGUUCUGAAUGGAAGGGCCAUCGCUCAACGGAUAAAAGGUACUCCGGGGAUAACAGGCUGAUACCGCCCAAGAGUUCAUAUCGACGGCGGUGUUUGGCACCUCGAUGUCGGCUCAUCACAUCCUGGGGCUGAAGUAGGUCCCAAGGGUAUGGCUGUUCGCCAUUUAAAGUGGUACGCGAGCUGGGUUUAGAACGUCGUGAGACAGUUCGGUCCCUAUCUGCCGUGGGCGUUGGAGAAUUGAGAGGGGCUGCUCCUAGUACGAGAGGACCGGAGUGGACGCAUCACUGGUGUACCAGUUGUCUCGCCAGAGGCACUGCUGGGUAGCUAAAUGCGGAAGAGAUAAGUGCUGAAAGCAUCUAAGCACGAAACUUGCCUUAAGAUGAGUUCUCCCAGUCUAUAAGACUGUAAGGGUUGUUUGAGACUAAGACGUAGAUAGGCUGGGUGUGUAAGCGGUGUGAGCCGUUGAGCUAACCAGUACUAAUUGCCCGAGAGGCUUAACUAU
rnacentral:rRNA from 1 species